rnacentral:rRNA from 1 species
AUUGAACGCUGGCGGCAGGCCUAACUCAUGCAAGUCGAGCGGAUGAAGGGAGCUUGCUCCUGGAUUCAGCGGCGGACGGGUGAGUAAUGCCUAGGAAUCUGCCUGGUAGUGGGGGAUAACGUCCGGAAACGGGCGCUAAUACCGCAUACGUCCUGAGGGAGAAAGUGGGGGAUCUUCGGACCUCACGCUAUCAGAUGAGCCUAGGUCGGAUUAGCUAGUUGGUGGGGUAAAGGCCUACCAAGGCGACGAUCCGUAACUGGUCUGAGAGGAUGAUCAGUCACACUGGAACUGAGAAACGGUCCAGACUCCUACGGGAGGCAGCAGUGGGGAAUAUUGGACAAUGGGCGGAAGCCUGAUCUGGCCAUGCCGCGUGUGUGAAGAAGGUCUUCGGAUUGUAAAGCACUUUAAGUUGGGAGGAAGGGCAGUAAGUUAAUACCUUGCUGUUUUGAGGUUACCAACAGAAUAAGCACCGGCUAACUUCGUG